UUGGUUCAUUUAUCUUAAGAUGUAGGCUAACGAAAAAUGUGAGGAUUUGGAAAUGAUGGUUCAUUUCUGCUUAGAGUCCUUUAGGGGCAUUUCUUUACCCUUUUUUUUUUUUUUUGUUGAUCUCAUAGAUACUGGUUUAUGCGCUGGACAGUGAAAUAACUGAUACCAAGAACGAGUUGAUCAGCACAUGCUAUUUAAUCUAUUAAAUUACUUUUAAUGUUGGUGCUCAUAAUUAUUGUUAUUAACGACCAGUUUU